rnacentral:rRNA from 1 species
UCUGCCCUGCACUCUGGGACAAGCCCUUGGAAACGGGGUCUAAUACCGGAUACAACCACUGACCGCAUGGUCGGGUGGUGGAAAGCUCCGGCGGUGCAGGAUGAGCCCGCGGCCUAUCAGCUUGUUGGUGAGGUAGUGGCUCACCAAGGCGACGACGGGUAGCCGGCCUGAGAGGGCGACCGGCCACACUGGGACUGAGACACGGCCCAGACUCCUACGGGAGGCAGCAGUGGGGAAUAUUGCACAAUGGGCGAAAGCCUGAUGCAGCGACGCCGCGUGAGGGAUGACGGCCUUCGGGUUGUAAACCUCUUUCAGCAGGGAAGAAGCGAAAGUGACGGUACCUGCAGAAGAAGCGCCGGCUAACUACGUGCCAGCAGCCGCGGUAAUACGUAGGGCGCAAGCGUUGUCCGGAAUUAUUGGGCGUAAAGAGCUCGUAGGCGGCUUGUCGCGUCGGUUGUGAAAGCCCGGGGCUUAACCCCGGGUCUGCAGUCGAUACGGGCAGGCUAUGAGUUCGGUAGGGGAGAUCGGAAUUCCUGGUGUAGCGGUGAAAUGCGCAGAUAUCAGGAGGAACCACCCGGUGGCGAAGGCGGAUCUCUGGGCCGAUACUGACGCUGAGGAGCGARAGCGUGGGGAGCGAACAGGAUUAGAUACCCUGGUAGUCCACGCCGUAAACGGUGGGCACUAGGUGUGGGCAACAUUCCACGUUGUCCGUGCCGCAGCUAACGCAUUAAGUGCCCCGCCUGGGGAGUACGGCCGCAAGGCUAAAACUCAAAGGAAUU